CUCUUUUAACAUGUUUUUACGAAAUUCUGCAGCUAACUUAGCGUGCUGAGUUUGUAACUUGUUCCUGUACAGUUGAGUAAUAGAAUUGUACCCACUAAAAAUAUUGUGGUGCUUUAGAGAAGUAUACAGUAAAUAAUAUUCUGCAGCACUGUAAAAGAGGCUGUUUUACUGUUUAUCUUUUGGUAAUACAAAUAGAAAUCUGCAUUUGAUAUGUGAUCUGGUGUGGAUUGUUAUGUAAUAUUUCUAAGAUAAUUUACCCGAA
rnacentral:lncRNA from 1 species